UUGAACGCUGGCGGCAGGCCUAACACAUGCAAGUCGAGCGGAUGAAGGGAGCUUGCUCCUGGAUUCAGCGGCGGACGGGUGAGUAAUGCCUAGGAAUCUGCCUGGUAGUGGGGGAUAACGUCCGGAAACGGGCGCUAAUACCGCAUACGUCCUGAGGGAGAAAGUGGGGGAUCUUCGGACCUCACGCUAUCAGAUGAGCCUAGGUCGGAUUAGCUAGUUGGUGGGGUAAAGGCCUACCAAGGCGACGAUCCGUAACUGGUCUGAGAGGAUGAUCAGUCACACUGGAACUGAGACACGGUCCAGACUCCUACGGGAGGCAGCAGUGGGGAAUAUUGGACCAUGGGCGAAAGCCUGAUCCAGCCAUGCCGCGUGUGUGAAGAAGGUCUUCGGAUUGUAAAGCACUUUAAGUUGGGAGGAAGGGCAGUAAGUUAAUACCUUGCUGUUUUGACGUUACCAGCAGAAUAAGCACCGGCUAACUUCGUG
rnacentral:rRNA from 1 species